AGUGAACGCUGGCGGUAGGCCUAACACAUGCAAGUCGAACGGCAGCACAGUAAGAGUUUGCUCUUACGGGUGGCGAGUGGCGGACGGGUGAGGAAUAUAUCGGAAUCUACUUUUUCGUGGGGGAUAACGUAGGGAAAGUUACGCUAAUACCGCAUACGACCUACGGGUGAAAGCAGGGGAUCUUCGGACCUUGUGCGAUUGAAUGAGCCGAUGGCGGAGGAGCUAGUUGGCGGGGUAAAGGCCCACCCCGGCGCCGAUCGGUAGCUGGUCUGAGAGGAUGGUCAGCCACACUGGAAGUGAGACACGGUCCAGACGCCUACGGGAGGCAGCAGUGGGGAAUAUUGGAUAAUGGGCGCAAGCCUGAUCCAGCCAUACCACGUGGGUGAAGAAGGCCUUCCGGUUGUAAAGCCCUUUUGUUGGGAAAGAAAAGCAGCAGCUUAAUACCCCGCUGUUCUGACGGUACCCAAAGAAUAAGCACCGGCUAACUUCGUG
rnacentral:rRNA from 1 species